GGGAGCGCAGGCGGUUGAAAUAGUCUGAUGUGAAAGCCCACGGCUUAACCGUGGAAGGUCAUUGGAAACUGUUCAACUUGAAUACAGAAGAGGUAAGUGGAAUUCCAAGUGUAGCGGUGAAAUGCGUAGAUAUUUGGAGGAACACCAGUGGCGAAGGCGACUUACUGGUCUGUAAUUGACGCUGAGGCUCGAAAGCGUGGGUAGCAAACAGGAUUAGAUACCCUGGUAGUCCACGCCGUAAACGAUGAGUGCUAAGUGUUAGGGGGUUUCCGCCCCUUAGUGCUGGAGUUAACGCAUUAAGCACUCCGCCUGGGGAGUACGGCCGCAAGGCUGAAACUCAAAGGAAUUGACGGGGACCCGCACAAGCGGUGGAGCAUGUGGUUUAAUUCGACGCAACGCGAAGAACCUUACCAACUCUUGACAUCUUCUGAUCACCCUAGAGAUAGGGCUUUCCCUUCGGGGACAGAAUGACAGGUGGUGCAUGGUUGUCGUCAGCUCGUGUCGUGAGAUGUUGGGUUAAGUCCCAUAACGAGCGCAACCCUUAUUGUUAGUUGCCAGCAUUCAGUUGGGCACUCUAGCGAGACUGCCGGUGAUAAACCGGAGGAAGGUGGGGAUGACGUCAAAUCAUCAUGCCCCUUAUGAGUUGGGCUACACACGUGCUACAAUGGACGGUACAACGAGUAGCGAUCCCGCAAGGGUUAGCGAAUCUUAAUAAGCCGUUCUCAGUUCGGAUUGUUCUCUGCAACUCGAGAGCAUGAAGCCGGAAU
rnacentral:rRNA from 1 species